UACGGAGGGUGCAAGCAUUAAUCGGAUUUAUUGGGCGUAAAGGGCGCGUAGGUGGUAAGGAAAGUCAGAUGUGAAAUCCCGGGGCUCAACCUCGGAACAGCAUUUGAAACUUCUUUUCUAGAGGAUAGGCGGAGAAAACGGAAUUCCACAAGUAGCGGUGAAAUGCGUAGAUAUGUGGAAGAACACCGGUGGCGAAGGCGGUUUUCUAGCUUAUUCCUGACACUGAGGCGCGAAAGCAAGGGGAUCAAAC
rnacentral:rRNA from 1 species